AACACAUGCAAGUCGAACGGCAGCACAGAGGAGCUUGCUCCUUGGGUGGCUGAGUGGCGGACGGGUGAGGAAUACGUCGGAAUCUGCCUAUUUGUGGGGGAUAACGUAGGGAAACUUACGCUAAUACCGCAUACGACCUACGGGUGAAAGUGGGGGACCGCAAGGCCUCACGCAGAUAGAUGAGCCGACGUCGGAUUAGCUAGUUGGCGGGGUAAAGGCCCACCAAGGCGACGAUCCGUAGCUGGUCUGAGAGGAUGAUCAGCCACACUGGAACUGAGACACGGUCCAGACUCCUACGGGAGGCAGCAGUGGGGAAUAUUGGACAAUGGGCGCAAGCCUGAUCCAGCCAUGCCGCGUGUGUGAAGAAGGCCUUCGGGUUGUAAGCACUUUUGUCCGGAAAGAAAGGCUUAGGGUUAAUAACCCUGAGUCAUGACGGUACCGGAAGAAUAAGCACCGGCUAACUUCGUGCCAGCAGCCGCGGUAAUACGAAGGGUGCAAGCGUUACUCGGAAUUACUGGGCGU
rnacentral:rRNA from 1 species